rnacentral:rRNA from 1 species
UUUACCUACGGGGCGCAGCAGUGAGGAAUAUUGGUCAAUGGACGAGAGUCUGAACCAGCCAAGUAGCGUGAAGGAUGACUGCCCUAUGGGUUGUAAACUUCUUUUAUAUGGGAAUAAAACAGGGUAUGCAUACCCUCUUGUAUGUACCAUAUGAAUAAGGAUCGGCUAACUCCGUGCCAGCAGCCGCGGUAAUACGGAGGAUGCGAGCGUUAUCCGGAUUUAUUGGGUUUAAAGGGUGCGUAGGCGGAACAUUAAGUCAGCGGUAAAAUCGAGGGGCUCAACCCCUUUAAGCCGUUGAAACUGGG